rnacentral:rRNA from 1 species
UACAGAGGGUGCGAGCGUUAAUCGGAAUUACUGGGCGUAAAGCGUGCGUAGACGGUUAUUUAAGUCGGGUGUGAAAGCCCCGGGCUCAACCUGGGAAUUGCAUUCGAGACUGAAUAGCUAGGGUACGGUAGAGGGAAGCGGAAUUUCCGGUGUAGCGGUGAAAAUGCGUAGAUAUCGGAAGGAACAUCAGUGGCGAAAGCGGCUUCCUGGACCAGUACCGACGUCAGGCACGAAAGCGUGGGGAGCAAACAGGA